CUGUAUGUGCUGGCAGGGGUAGACGGAUCGUGGCAGAGCAGAGAUGUAGUGUAGCUCGCUGGGACUCCGUGGCCAGCCGUCUGUCACUUUUACCGGGGAUCAUUUGUCUGACAUCGCCGCGGAAUGGGAAGGACCGGAUUUGUAAUUUUGCACAGUUCCACUGCAUGAACGUGUCGCGUGAUGCGACCGAGAAGAGCUGCCUGCGGGGGGAAAUAUUUAUGGUUCGGGACGGUUUUGUUGGAGUAGCUAGUUGCUAGCGCUGGGCUAGCGACUGUGCUGGCUACUUCGAACGUAUUUGUUAAGGAUGCUACGGUGGAUACGACAACAGCUGGGCUUUGACCCCCCUCAUCAGAGCGACACCAGGACGGUUUAUGUAGCAAACCGUUUCCCCCAGCAUGGCCACUACAUACCACAACGCUUUGCUGACAACAGAAUCAUUUCCUCCAAGUACACAAUUUGGAAUUUUGUCCCUAAGAAUCUGUUUGAGCAGUUCAGAAGGAUAGCCAACUUCUAUUUUCUCAUCAUCUUCCUUGUGCAGUUAAUGAUAGACACCCCAACUUCCCCAGUCACCAGCGGCCUGCCUCUCUUCUUUGUGAUCACAGUGACUGCUAUAAAACAGGGCUAUGAGGAUUGGCUGAGACACAAGGCGGACAACGAGGUGAAUGGUGCUCCAGUGUUUGUGGUUCGCAGUGGAAGUCUGGUCCAGACAAGAUCCAAGAACAUCAGGGUGGGGGAUAUUGUUCGUGUAGCUAAAGAUGAGACGUUCCCAGCUGACCUGGCACUGCUGUCAUCAGAUCGUGCAGAUGGCACCUGUCACAUCACCACAGCCAGCCUCGAUGGAGAAACCAACCUUAAGACUCACUACUCCGUGGCGGAGACCUCAGUGUGUCAGUCGGUAACCCAACUGGAGGCUCUGCAGGCUGUGGUGGAGUGUCAACAACCGGAAGCGGACUUGUACAGGUUUGUCGGUCGGAUUACGGUGACUCAACAAGGAGAAGAGAUUGUCAGACCGCUGGGCCCAGAGAAUCUGCUGCUGCGAGGAGCCAGGUUGAAAAAUACCAAAGAGAUUUUUGGUGUGGCUGUUUACACGGGGAUGGAGUCCAAAAUGGCCCUCAACUAUAAGUGCAAGUCCCAGAAACGCUCUGCUGUAGAGAAGUCCAUGAAUACCUUCCUAAUCAUCUACCUGGGCAUCUUGCUGUUUGAGGCUGUCCUCAGCACCAUCCUGAAGUAUGCCUGGCAGGCUGAGGACAAAUGGGACGAGCCUUUCUACAACCAGAAGACUGAACAAGAGAGAAACAGCAGUCCGAUCUUAAAGUUCAUCUCAGACUUCUUGGCGUUUCUGGUCCUCUAUAACUUCAUCAUCCCCAUCUCACUCUACGUUACUGUGGAGAUGCAGAAGUUUCUGGGCUCAUUUUUCAUUGGCUGGGAUUUAGACCUUUACCAUGAGGAGAGCGACCAGAAAGCUCAGGUCAACACUUCUGACCUCAAUGAGGAGCUGGGACAGGUGGAGUAUGUGUUUACAGAUAAGACGGGUACGCUAACGGAAAAUGAGAUGCAGUUCCGUGAAUGUUCGAUUAACGGAACCAAGUAUCGAGAAGUUAACGGCAAACUGGUACCAGAGGGAAUGACUGACGAUUCUCCAGAUGGUUCUACGCCUCACCUGAUUGGAGAGGAACUGUUAUUUCUCAAGGCGGUGUCAUUGUGUCACACGGUUCAGAUCAGCUACGACCAGCCAGACUGCCUGGUUGGGGGAGGAGACCCAUUCUCCCAUGUAAAUGGUUUCUCCUCCAAUCACAUGGAAUACUACGCCUCUUCACCAGAUGAGAAAGCUUUAGUAGAGGCAGCAAAGAGGAUUGGAGUGGCCUUCACUUGCAGCAAUGGAGAGACCAUGGAAAUCAAAACAUUUGGCAAGUCAGAGAAAUAUAAACUGCUCCAUGUGUUAGAGUUUGAUGCUGACCGCAGGAGGAUGAGCGUCAUACUGCAGACUCCCUCAGGAGGCCAAGUGCUGUUCACCAAGGGCGCAGAGUCUGCCAUCUUACCUUUCACUACCAGUGGAGAGAUAGAAAAGACAAGACUGCACGUUGAUGAGUUUGCAUUGAAAGGUUUGCGAACCUUAGUUGUAGCGUGUCGCCACUUCAGCCCGGAGGAGUACAUUGAUGUGGACAGGCGUCUGAACGCUGCUCGCACCGCGCUGCAGCAGAGGGAAGAAAGACUGCAGGAGGCCUUCAGCUUCAUUGAGAGGGACCUGCAGCUGCUGGGAGCAACGGGGGUUGAGGACAAACUCCAAGACAAAGUCCAGGAGACCAUUGAGGCUCUGCGACUGGCAGGGAUCAAAGUGUGGGUGCUGACAGGGGACAAACAUGAGACGGCGGUCAGCGUCAGCCUGUCCUGUGGCCACUUCCACAGAACCAUGAACAUUUUAGAGCUUCUGCAGCAACAUUCUGAUAACGAAUGUGCUGAGCAGCUCCGCAGACUGGCGAGGAGGAUAAAGGAGGACCACGUCAUACAGCACGGGUUAGUCGUGGAUGGGGCCAGUCUGUCAUUAGCGUUGAGGGAACACGAGAAGCUCUUCAUGGAAGUGUGUAAAAACUGCUCAGCUGUGUUGUGCUGCCGCAUGGCCCCGCUGCAGAAAGCAAAGGUUGUGCGUCUUUUAAAAACCUCUCCGGAGAAACCCAUCACCCUAGCUAUUGGUGAUGGAGCCAAUGAUGUCAGUAUGAUACAGGAAGCUCAUGUGGGCAUAGGUAUCAUGGGGAAGGAGGGUCGUCAGGCCGUGAGAAACAGUGACUAUGCAAUUGCCAGGUUUAAGUUCCUGGCUAAACUUCUGCUGGUCCACGGUCACUUCUACUACAUUCGAAUAGCUACGCUUGUACAGUACUUUUUCUACAAGAAUGUGUGUUUUAUCACGCCCCAGUUUUUAUACCAGUUCUUCUGUCUGUUUUCACAACAAACUCUGUAUGACAGUGUUUAUCUGACACUGUACAACAUCUGCUUCACGUCGUUGCCCAUUCUAGUGUACAGUUUGUUUGAACAGCUGGUCCAUCCACAUGUGCUGCAGAACAAACCUGGCCUGUACAGGGACAUCAGCAAGAACUCUCUGCUGUCUUUCCGAACGUUCCUGUACUGGACUCUGUUGGGCUUCUGUCACGCCUUCGUCUUCUUCUUUGGAUCCUACAUACUUAUGGGAGAAGACACCACACUUAUGGGCAAUGGACAGAUGUUUGGGAACUGGACAUUUGGAACGCUGGUCUUUACUGUCAUGGUCAUCACAGUCACAUUAAAGCUUGCUUUGGAGACUCAUUUCUGGACAUGGAUGAACCAUUUUGUGACGUGGGGUUCGAUUGCCUUCUACUUCAUCUUCUCUCUCUUUUAUGGAGGCAUCAUCUGGCCGUUCCUCCACACCCAGGACAUGUACUUUGUAUUCGUACAGCUGCUGUCCAGCGGUUCUGCGUGGUUCGCCAUCAUCAUUAUCGUUAUAACUUGCCUCUUUCCUGAUGUGUUGAAGAAGGUCUUCUACCGGCACCUGCAGCCCACCAGCACACAGAAGAGUCAGAUGGAAGAGGGUGAGGGUUCAGUCGGCCCAGAAUAUGACCCUGUUAAAGCCCAGCGGAGCCCAGGGGAGGACAAUUGGCACCUGCUAGCUGCUUAUCCUCCCCCUGCUGCCCCCGGCCCAGACCCCUGCUCCCCUAGUCUCUAUCAGCCUCCCAGGCGCAGGCCCUCAGCUGUGUGGAGUCCCUGUGCUGCUACCAACAUGGGCAGAGCGGCUGUUCCCGCUUGGCCCGCCUCUUGGAGCAAAUGACCGGACAGUGCCACGCCAGCGCCAACCAUUGCCACGCAUCCAGCCGCAGCAACAGGUCUUGGAGCGAUACGGAGAACUUCUACUCCAACGAUCGCAGUAUCCUGACGCUGUCGCCCAUGGAGGCCACCCACUGCUGACUCCCAGGGCCGCUGACUGUAACAGGCAGAGCAGGGGGAGACUCCACGAGGAGAAUAUAAUCACCCUCCUGCCUCCAUUUUAUAAACUUACUUCAGUUUAAGCUCAGUGCAUUCUCAGCUGGAUGCAACACAGACUCUUGUGAAACCAAAGGACUCAGCUUGAUGCAGCAGGCUGCUUUCUUCUUCAUCAGUUUGUUUCCCCCAGUGAAUCAGUCCUUAGUAGCAAUGUUGAGAAGGACAUCAGACGGGAGCUGCAACAUGGAAGGAAAUAAAACAUGAAGUGUGGCGCAAGUCAGCAUGGCAUGAAGCUGACAUCUGUGGAGCUACUCAUGAAGGAAGACCCGAUCAACCUCUGAGCAGAUCCCUUCUGCAUAUAGUUCCUGAAAGUCCUGCAAAAGUAUCGAAAAACAUUUAAAUUCAGGACAUUUUUUAAGGUCAAAAUAAGAUAUGUCAGCUCACAGGUGCUCCCCUCUGAGAUCAGCCCGGGUACAUGAACUCUAAUGCAGCUAUUUAUUUUUUCAGCACAGUUGCCAAACUUAUUUUUUCAUGCAACUGGCAUUAAAAUGACCUUGUAAGUCUCAUAUAUAUAUAUUUGUAGACACAGAAUGGAGACUCUGAUGGACAUCUUGCUAGCUGAUGUCAGGCAGCAGUCCUGCUCGAAGCAUUGCAGCCUGUAAGGACUGUAACCUAAACAAGCUGGUUUCGACAUGUUGAUUAAACUCAACACAGGACCGAGGUGGCUUAUAGACCCCGAUAUCCAGGAUGUAGCACCAGGACAGAAGCUCCGUGAAGUCAGACUACAUUAGGGGGAGGAGGAUCUCUGAGAUGUCAGCUAGCAGCUAAGGCUGAACAUCAUGUUGCUUCCAUAAACUGCUGCAUUAACUUUCUCUUUGAGCCCUUGGCCCCGCUGCACCUUCAUUUCUCAUUCAGAUGGAAAGGGAAAAAGUUAGACUACCUGUAGCUUUCAGAGCUUUACUGGUUCUGCUAACGUCUAGACUAGUUUCCUUAGGACCUGCAGUACUCCGUAGAUACUGUACAAGGAGAUUCAUCUCUCUCAUGGAACCAAAGACCAAAAGAUUCAAACUGGAGUUUAAAGAAAAAAGUGUUUAUUUUUGUGCCUGAUUGUACAGAAGCUUAUAUCGUUGUUAAGAAGACUAUCGUUAUUGUUAGUGCUGCUUUCUCGUCGGACUGUUCAGGCCCGUCUCCCCGCUGCAUUGCUCUGAAGGAGGUCAGAUGCGGUCUGUUUGAAAAGCCAUACAUUUUCAAGAGCUUAUAUUGUAGAUUAUCAAAGGUACUGCAGAUUGAAGCUGUUUGAGCCUGUUGUUACUUAGUGUCUGGAAACUUGUUCCCCUUGAAUGCCUUUUUCUCAUUCAGCCGGGUUAGCAAAAGCAUCUUAGCAUUAAAGACCGCAACGCUUGGGGAGUAUUUUGAGGUAACGGGGUCAGUGCUGAAAGCUGACUUAAUGAGGUUUUGUAGGUAGAAUCAUCCCUCUCAGUCGCCUGAAAAUAUUACCCGAAUAUCAGAUCAGAUGAUGGUACCAAUUUUUUUCCCUUUCUUUCCUAAACAAGACAAAAUGGCUUUAAUGGCGAGACGCUUUUCCAAAUCACGGCUGCCGCACGUCGACCCAGACAGCAGAAUGUCUCUAUCGUUAGAGAGAUAGCUAUAUCAGAUGAAUAUAACUCAGCUUCUACAGAGAUGAAAAGAAUAGCAGAGCGUUUGCACAAGUCACAUAUCAAAACCACAUUUAGUUGUUUCUCAAACCAUUACUCGUCUGUCACCAUUGAAAUCAUCUGAAUCAUGUUUUUGCUGUUAUGUUUUUCUGUCCACCUGUUGAUGAAGUGUGUGAAUCUGUGUGUGUUUGUGUUUCUUGUGUGGCAGCCAUGUUAGUUGAAGGAAGUAUGGUACGUAGCAUUGUUGUAAGCUCUUUGUAUGCUCUCAGUGGCCACAUGUUGCCCACAGGUCAAAGGUAAAAAAAAAAUUUAUGCUUGGUUUGGCGUCUCUUCUUCCAAAAAAAAAAAAAUAGGUGAAAUGUAGAAAUGUUUCAAGACAACCGUUUUAAACUUGACAUCAACAAUGACUGGUACAUGCCUCAGCUCAGACAAGAAACAUACUGAGUCAUAGGAUUUGUCUGUUGCUAUGGUUACUGUUUCAACAAAUCAGAGAGUCAGUAAUGUUUUCGUCAGUUGUUUAUUUUCUGUACGGUACACAUUGUUUGAUGCACACCUGGGCCUGUUAUAUCAUCUCUUUUCAUACAGGUUCAACUGACAGUGAACGUGUCUAUUUAUUAUUGUGGUACUUUUUUUUCUGUGUUUGUUUUGAACUUCUCUGACAUAUCAUUAUAAAUGUGAGUCCUGUACAUGACCUGAACGCAGCAACUUCCCACAAUGUUUUACUUGAUCUCAGACACAUAAUUGGGAGGAUGUAGCUCCGUGUUAGCUGUUUUUGUGUUUGACCUGAAAAGCAACAGUGCAGGUGGGAGCUGUCUGACAUAAACAGGAUGUUUGUAAUGUUACAGGACAUUUCAAUGAGCAUAAGGACAUUUUGAAACUUCCAGUUAGAUCACUCUGUCAUGGAACCCAACAGAAUCUUAUCAGGCCACAUUUACACAGGAAAUUACUUUCCUUUUUUUAAACUUAUCUGAUAUUAAAAAGUGUACCUGGAUAUACCUAUGAUUCUUGCAAUCUGUACCUGGAUAAGGAAAAUAUGUUUCUGCUGUUACUGCACCAAUUUUACACAUAAAAGUCCGUUUACUUGUCAUGAAGAGCUCAGCCUGUGAAAAAAGUUGUAUAAUGUCCUCUGUGGCUGUGAGAGCACUUUGAUGUCUGAGAAAUGCGUUCUUGAGACUUCAAAAACAUUGGAAGAAAUGCUUCUUUAUAAAUGAGGGCAUGUAACGGGCAGGAGUUGACGUUCAGAUGCUUUUAAGUUGUAUGAGAAUUGUAGGAUCUAGCCUUAUAUACUGAAACGAGGGACUUAAAAUCAGGAUAUGUUGGCUUCUGCGGCUGCAUAUUGACCAUUAUUUUUGUAUGUAAGUACAAUACUAAAUCCAGGAGUACCAUAACCCUUAAAUACAAUAUAAAAAGGUCAAAUUUGAUGCAGCAGAGGCUGAGGUAUCCUGACUUGAACAGAAACUAAAAGUUUGACAACCCUCCUCUCUGGAAUCAGUAAUAAACUCCAGAGGAAGAGGAGUCCCUGCUGUCUAAAAGCAGUUAACACCUGCAGUGUAAGUGCAGUUCUGAUGCCCCCUUGUGCUCAACAUCAGAGACCCAAAGUGUUUAAAAUGAAAUAAUUAUAAAAUCUAUAAUCAUAUUAAUAAUUACAAACAGAUAAACCAUAAGUAGUGGUUACGUAAAUUAAAAAAAUGCUUCUAACAAGACUUAAAAAUACAACAAAUGCAAAAUAAAAAAAUAAUUGAUAGAGAGGACAAUUCUUAAUUAUUAAAUUUCAAAAUCUCCAUUUUCCAGAGACAGAGAUUUAAUGAUAAAAUGUGACAUAGGAUAAAAACACAUGCUAAUCUAUAUGAUUAUUUCACUUUAACACUUUGGGUCUUUAUAUUUAUUUAUAUUAUGUAAUUGAUGGUACAUUUUUAUCCAGACUGUAUAUCCAGGUACAGAUUUUCAAAUUGGGGCCCAUGUAUCACUAGAGUAAUAUCUUCAGAACUGUUAAAGCAGAAAACUGAUGGUUUUGUCUUGGGUUUUUUUUUUUGUUUUUUUUUUUUUUUAAAUGAGAUUUGACUUUAGCGAAAACAGAGACCUGAUUCUCCAAAGCAUCGCAGCACUGACAUCAUCUAAGCUUCAUUACAACAGAGCAGCAGAGUUAUGAUACGAGGCCUCUGGGGUAUUUCUAGAAGCAGAAGAUUACUCAACCACAUAAUUCAAAAAAUUGUCAUUUAAUAUUUUAUCAUGCCUCGACCACAGAUGAUGAUCGUGUCAUCCAUCAGAAACAGUACCCGAGUUUAAUGGGAUACUUUAUUAAGAGCUGUUAAAUUCUGUCUGCACACGUGGCUUUUAACUCUCCUGCCUCUGGAAAUGUUGGCCGAAUAUUAACGAUAUUUAACAACCAAAUGAAAAUGGAACUUAGUCACUUAUGCUCAGUCUUUAUACUUACAAGUAGCCUUAUCAUCCAGAGACCAGAUCCUAACUAUUAUAUUGACACAUCUACGGGCAUGGUUAUCAUAACUUACACAAAGGAUCAAACAGAAUCUUUCAGUAAUAUCAGUAAAUUUAUUAGAAUUUAGAAAGACUGUCAGUGCAUAGAUGCUCUUGGAAAACUUAGCCAUUGUUUGCAGACCUAAAUCAAAUGAAGGUUUUCUUGAUCAAAUCAGCUUAAAAGAGGAAUCUAAAUAUCAACAGAUCAAUACUGAAUGGUUUGUUGAAAUCAUUUUUGUUCUCUCCUCAUCAGUAAAUUAUGCUGCACCAGACCAAUAAUAAACCACCAUCAUCACUCCUCUGUUGACUGAUAUCUGUUGCUGUCUGUAUGUCCUCCCUCCUCUUCCUGUCUGUAAAUCUGUCUUAUAGCUGAUGUUUAUGAAGAUGCUGUUCUAUUUACAAAAUAAAUACAUUUUUAAGAAACAA